rnacentral:rRNA from 1 species
ACCCGCACAAGCGGUGGAUGAUGUGGAUUAAUCGAUGCAACGCGAAGAACCUUACUACCCUUGACAUGUCCGGAACUUGCCAGAGAUGGCUUGGUGCCCGAAAGGGAAUCGGAACACAGGUGCUGCAUGGCUGUCGUCAGCUCGUGUCGUGAGAUGUUGGGUUAAGUCCCGCAACGAGCGCAACCCUUAUCAUUAGUUGCUACGCAAGGGCACUCUAAUGAGACUGCCGGUGACAAACCGGAGGAAGGUGGGGAUGACGUCAAGUCCUCAUGGCCCUUAUGGGUAGGGCUUCACACGUCAUACAAUGGUCGGUACAGAGGGUUGCCAAGCCGCGAGGCGGAGCCAAUCCCACAAAGCCGAUCGUAGUCCGGAUUGUUCUCUGCAACUCGAGAGCAUGAAGUCGGAAUCGCUAGUAAUCGCAGGUCAGCAUACUGCGGUGAAUACGUUCCCGGGUCUU